CAAUAGCGUAUAUUAAAGUUGUUGCAGUUAAAAAGCUCGUAGUUGGAUUUGUGGUGUACUUCGGCGGCCCGUCACUAUGUGAUGGAGCUUGCUGAAGUCGCCAUCCUUGGGUGGAUCCUGUGUGGCAUUAAGUUGUCGUGCAGGGGAUGCCCAUCGUUUACUGUGAAAAAAUUAGAGUGUUCAAAGCAGGCUUAUGCCGUUGAAUAUAUUAGCAUGGAAUAAUAAGAUAGGACCUUGGUACUAUUUUGUUGGUUUGCGCACCAAGGUAAUGAUUAAUAGGGACAGUUGGGGGUAUUCGUAUUUCAUUGUCAGAGGUGAAAUUCUUGGAUUUUUGAAAGACGAACUACUGCGAAAGCAUUUACCAAGGAUGUCUNCAUUA
rnacentral:rRNA from 1 species